rnacentral:rRNA from 1 species
UACAGAGGGUGCAAGCGUUGUCCGGAUUUAUUGGGCGUAAAGAGCGUGUAGGCGGUUUGGUAGGUCCGCUGUGAAAACUCGAGGCUCAACCUCGAGCUGUCGGCGGAAACCAUCUGGCUAGAGUCCGGAAGAGGAGAGUGGAAUUCCCGGUGUAGCGGUGAAAUGCGCAGAUAUCGGGAAGAACACCCGUGGCGAAGGCGGCUCUCUGGGACGGUACUGACGCUGAGACGCGAAAGCGUGGGGAGCGAACAGG